rnacentral:rRNA from 1 species
GAUGAACGCUAGCUACAGGCUUAACACAUGCAAGUCGCGGGGCAGCAUGGGGGUUGCUUGCACUCCCCGAUGGCGACCGGCGCACGGGUGAGUAACGCGUAUUCAACCUGCCCUUCACCACGGGAUAACCCGGCGAAAGUCGGACUAAUACCGUAUGUUGUCCAUUGACGGCAUCCGAUUUGGACGAAAGCUUUGGCGGUGAGGGGUGGGGAUGCGUCCGAUUAGCCAGACGGCGGGGUAACGGCCCACCGUGGCUACGAUCGGUAGGGGUUCUGAGAGGAAGGUCCCCCACACUGGAACUGAGGCACGGUCCAGACUCCUACGGGAGGCAGAAGUGAGGAAUAUUGGUGAAUGGGCGUAAGCCUGAACAAGCCAAGUAGAGUGAAGGAGGACGGCCGUAGGGGUUGUAAACUGCUUUUAUGCGGGGAUAAAGGGGGCCACGUGUGGGGUUUUGAAGGUACCGCAUGAAUAAGGACCGGCUAACUACGUG